CCUACGGGAGGCAGCAGUGAGGAAUAUUGGUCAAUGGACGCAAGUCUGAACCAGCCAUGCCGCGUGCAGGAAGACGGUCCUAUGGAUUGUAAACUGCUUUUGUACGGGAAGAAACCCUCCGACGUGUCGGAGCUUGACGGUACCGUAAGAAUAAGCAUCGGCUAACUCCGUGCCAGCAGCCGCGGUAAU
rnacentral:rRNA from 1 species